AAAGUCGUAACAAGGUUUCCGUAGGUGAACCUGCGGAAGGAUCAUUAAUAAAUGAGCGCAAGCUUUAUAUAUUAUUCCAUACACCUGUGAACUAUUGCCUUCGGGCAUUUCAAACAUAAUGUAAUGAAUGUAAACUAUUAUAACAAAAUAUAACUUUCAACAACGGAUCUCUUGGCUCUC
rnacentral:misc_RNA from 1 species